AUGAACGCUAGCUACAGGCUUAACACAUGCAAGUCGAGGGGCAGCAUGGUCUUAGCUUGCUAAGGCCGAUGGCGACCGGCGCACGGGUGAGUAACACGUAUCCAACCUGCCGUCUACUCUUGGACAGCCUUCUGAAAGGAAGAUUAAUACAAGAUGGCAUCAUGAGUCCGCAUGUUCACAUGAUUAAAGGUAUUCCGGUAGACGAUGGGGAUGCGUUCCAUUAGAUAGUAGGCGGGGUAACGGCCCACCUAGUCUUCGAUGGAUAGGGGUUCUGAGAGGAAGGUCCCCCACAUUGGAACUGAGACACGGUCCAAACUCCUACGGGAGGCAGCAGUGAGGAAUAUUGGUCAAUGGGCGAGAGCCUGAACCAGCCAAGUAGCGUGAAGGAUGACUGCCCUAUGGGUUGUAAACUUCUUUUAUAAAGGAAUAAAGUCGGGUAUGGAUACCCGUUUGCAUGUACUUUAUGAAUAAGGAUCGGCUAACUCCGUGCCAGCAGCCGCGGUAAUACGGAGGAUCCGAGCGUUAUCCGGAUUUAUUGGGUUUAAAGGGAGCGUAGAUGGAUAUUUAAGUCAGUUGUGAAAGUUUGCGGCUCAACCGUAAAAUUGCAGUUGAUACUGGAUAUCUUGAGUGCAGUUGAGGCAGGCGGAAUUCGUGGUGUAGCGGUGAAAUGCUUAGAUAUCACGAAGAACUCCGAUUGCGAAGGCAGCCUGCUAAGCUGCAACUGACAUUGAGGUUCGAAAGUGUGGGUAUCAAACAGGAUUAGAUACCCUGGUAGUCCACACGGUAAACGAUGAAUACUCGCUGUUUGCGAUAUACUGCAAGCGGCCAAGCGAAAGCGUUAAGUAUUCCACCUGGGGAGUACGCCGGCAACGGUGAAACUCAAAGGAAUUGACGGGGGCCCGCACAAGCGGAGGAACAUGUGGUUUAAUUCGAUGAUACGCGAGGAACCUUACCCGGGCUUAAAUUGCAGAUGAAUUACGGUGAAAGCCGUAAGCCGCAAGGCAUCUGUGAAGGUGCUGCAUGGUUGUCGUCAGCUCGUGCCGUGAGGUGUCGGCUUAAGUGCCAUAACGAGCGCAACCCUUGUUGUCAGUUACUAACAGGUUCCGCUGAGGACUCUGACAAGACUGCCAUCGUAAGAUGUGAGGAAGGUGGGGAUGACGUCAAAUCAGCACGGCCCUUACGUCCGGGGCUACACACGUGUUACAAUGGGGGGUACAGAGGGCCGCUACCACGCGGGUGGAUGCCAAUCCCCAAAACCUCUCUCAGUUCGGACUGGAGUCUGCAACCCGACUCCACGAAGCUGGAUUCGCUAGUAAUCGCGCAUCAGCCACGGCGCGGUGAAUACGUUCCCGGGCCUUGUACACACCGCCCGUCAAACCAUGGGAGCCGGGGGUACCUGAAGUGCGUAACCGCGAGGAGCGCCCUAGGGUAAAACUGGUGACUGGGGCU
rnacentral:rRNA from 1 species